rnacentral:rRNA from 1 species
UGGGGAAUCUUAGACAAUGGGGGAAACCCUGAUCUAGCCAUGCCGCGUGAGCGAUGAAGGCCUUAGGGUUGUAAAGCUCUUUCAGAUGGGAAGAUAAUGACGGUACCAUCAGAAGAAGCCCCGGCUAACUCCGUG